rnacentral:lncRNA from 1 species
GGGAUCCUCCUGCCUCAGCCUUCUGAGUGCUGGAAUUAUCUGAAGCAGCUUUCCAGGAUUUAAUUUUUUAAAUUCAAGGGAGCUGGGGCUCUGGCUCCACACAGUUGAAGACCGAAGCCUCAGUCACUGUGUCAGUCCAGGGACAAUGGACCGGAAGCAGGCAAAGAUACCUGAGCAGCCCACCCCCCAUUCAGCAGGAGCCUGAGCCCAUCAGCAGCGUGCUCCAGGGAGGCGACAUUCUUGCCUUGGCCAUAAAGAAGAGGACUUGAAGAAAG